rnacentral:lncRNA from 1 species
CUCUCCAUUUUUUUUUUGAUGGGUAUUUAUGAGGUCGUUUGUAACUAUCCUGAGGGAGAGCGUGCGAGGGAAUUGCGGGACGUGGGUAGUUGAGAGAAAAGUGGGAUGAGGUGGUUGAGGAGAACGUGCAUGGGUGAUUAAGAGGAAAUCGUGGGAUCGCGCAUGAUGGGAAUCCGGGAUUGUGGGAGAGAUUUUGGAUGGUUAUGAUGAGAUUGUGAGGUAUUUUGGACGGUUAGGAUGGGAUUGCGGGAAUAUUGCGGAUUAGUCCUUUCCCUUUGAUCAUAUUACACCUUGAUUAAGGUGGGGCAUUUUGUAAAUAUAUAAAAGGGAAUAGACUAAUAUGCUAUUUUAUAUACCCGUACGUAUUAUUUUUUCGCAAUCCGGUGCAUGAGAUAUUUUCAAAAUUUAAAUUUUAUCCAUGCACCUGGUGCAUGGAUGAUCUCAUAAACCAUCUCUAUUCUUUUUUUUUUUUUUUCUUUUCUUCUUCUUUUUUAUUCCUCUCUCUUUUUUUUUUAUGCUUCAUCAGUUCACAAAUUAUUUUUGGUUUCAUACUAAUAGUUUUAAGUAGUAAAGUUAAACUUAUAUUUAUUUUUUAAAAAAAUUUAAAUAGUUUAUUUAAAAAGAUAUAUGAAAUAUUUUAGUUUUUGUUUCAAAUAAUUUUCAUAAUUAAUAAUGCUAUUAACAUUAACGAAAACCACUAUAUAUGUCAUUAUGAAACCUAGUUGCAAUUAAAAAAGAAAAAAAUUAACAACAUUUUUAACAAAAACGAUUUAAUUGAAAUAAAACCUAAUGACUAGGAACCUAAUUGCAAGAAAAAAAAAUUAAAAACCAAAAUUAAAAAAAUCAGAAUAAAGAUGGGGAACAAAUUAAUGGUGCAAUCUUUUUUAUUUUUUUCAUAAGUGUUGGCCAUUUUAACAUAAUUUAUAUUUGGUUAAAAUGUAAAUACUUCAAUUUUCACCUUUUUUGGAUUUAACUAUAUAUCUAAUCUUUAAAAAUUUCGAUUUUACUAUCUAUAUUUUUAAUUUAUUUGAUUUGAAAUAAUUAACGACUCUUUAAUUUCAAAAUUUGAAUGCCCCGUUUAUCUUUACUAAUUUAAUUAAUAUAUUUUAAGUCAUUUUUUGUAACUAUAAAUUUAUUAAAAUAAGCUAUUAAUUAGCUUAAAUUUUGUACAUGAAGAAUCAUCAUAUUACUUUGAUAAAAUAAAUUCAAAGAUUGGGUAUCAAAAUUAAAAUUUUGAAAGAUUGUGUAGUCGAAUCAAAAUUGUCUAUAGUUUAAAUAAGUUUUUAUACUUUUUAAUCUUUAUAUUUUCACAUGACACACGGGCUUUAAUUAGCAAAAUCGCGUUGUUAAUACUUGAAUAUCAUCUGGGUGUUCCAUAAAUAUUUUAUAUGGCUAAAGCUAAUUUUGUUAUUUUAUAUAAGAUUAUGAAUAAUCUAAUUAAGUGCAAUAUAAUAAUUUAGGGUUAUUUGCAUACACGUCCCUACGAACAUAGUGAAUUGCAGAUAUAUCCCUGCAAAACGGAAACUCCAUAAGUUGUCCCUACAAAAGUUACAAGUUAUGCAGAUAGGCUCCUACUGUUAGAGUCUGUUAGAAAAUUUUCGUUAACCAUUGUUAAUUGUAAUGUGAAUUUAUGGUUCUACCCGUCUUCCUCUUCCUCUUCCUCCUCUUCUCUUCCCUCUUUUUCGUCACCGGCGAGGGAGAUGCAGCGGCGGUGGCGGCAGCGGCGGCGGACCCUCUCCUUCUUCCUCUCCCUCCUCCUCUCCCCCUACUUAUUUCUCUCCCUCUUCCUCUUCCCUCUUCUUCGUCGCCGGCGAGGGAGAAGAUGCGACGGCGGCGGCGAACCCUUUCCCUCCCCCUCUUCCUCUUAUUCUUCAUCUCUUUCUUUUUCUUCCCUCUUCUUCGUCGCCGGCGAGUCCCACCCGCGCCGUUGCCGCCGUCCGCUCCGGCGGCCCAAAGAUGAAGAGAAAGAGAAAGGGGAAGAGGAAUAUUUUUGGAGGGACAUAUUUGUGAGGGUAAAAAUGUUAUUUUACAAAUUCGCUGUUAAAAAGUUAACAGUUUACUAACGGAUGUUAACCAGAGGGAAAUAUCUGCAUAACUUAGGACUUUUGCAGGGACAACUUAUGGAGUUUCCGUUUUGCAGGGAUAUAUCUGCAAUUCACUAUGUUUGUAGGGACGUGUAUGCAAAUAACCCAAUAAUUUAAUAAUAAACUAAAAAUUUUAAAAAUUUUGGUUGGUUUACUUAUGUGCAAUGUGGAUGUCUUUGAUUAUAUAUACUAUUAUUUUCAUAUGAAACAACUGCAAUAAAAAAAAGGAAAAACUUCAAAUAUCUCCCCUGUUUUACACACUUUCUCACCUUAGUAUCCUAUAAUUUAAAGUGUAUCAAUUUACUGUCAUGUGGUUUCAUUUUUAUCAUUUUAUUAUCGAUUCUACUAUUUUUUUGUUAAAUCAGUAAUAAAGUUAAAACUAAGGGGUACUAAAAUCAAUAUUCGAUAAAUCUAGAUGGGGUAUCUGAAGUUUUUUUUUUUAUAUAAUUUAACGAAAAAGCUGACGAAAAAAAAAAAUGAAGCCACAGGACAUUAAUUUGAUACACUUUAAACCACAGGGUACUAAAGUGGGAAAGUGCGAAACCACAGGGGUGGUAUUUGAAGUUUACCCUAAAAAAAAAAAUUCUACUCAAGUCAUUUUUUGGGGUUAUAUACAGAGUUAACAAUCACUUUGAUUCUCAAAUUUUUGCUUUUGACAUUUUAGAUACUGAACUUACAGUAAAGUUUCAAAUAGUGUAUCUAAACUUUUAAAAGUGUUUCAUUUUAUUGAUAAUAUAUCCAUCCCAUAUUUUCAAAUUAGAGAUCUAACUUUUAUAUUAAAAAACUAUUACUCAAAGGGCCCGUUUGGUUCGAGUUAUGUAAUAUUACGAAGUAUCUCGACAUAUCCAGAUAUCUUGGAUUUCGGCGUGAGAUUACUACUGAUCCUACAUUAGCGCGUUUGAUUUAAUGCAGUAAUGUAAUACUAGAUUACAGUGUUUAUAGCAUUAAUACGUUUGGUUCAGUUUAUAAAAUUUAGUAAUCCUGACAUAAAAGUAUAGUUUUUUCCAAAAUUAUCCUUGUUGUGGUCAUUUGAAUAUUAUUUUUUGCGAAAAUGACGAAUGGAGGGAAGGAGAUCGUGAUGAUUACCUGGGAGGACGACGCAAUAGAAGAUGAUACGUGUUCGUGCGAGAGAGAGAGAGAGAGAGAGAGAGACGUCGAGAGAGAGAGAGAGAGAGCGAGAGAAAGCGGUGUGCGAGAGAGAGAGGGAAAGGCGAGAGAGAGAUGAAAAUAGUGCUGUUAAUUAGAUUAGGGUUGUUGGAGGGUAAAAUUGUCAUUUUACAUAAUAUGUAGUAUUAACGGGUUUCAGUAAUGCAAGAUACACGACCCCCUCCCAUUAAUAUUUUCGAUGUAAUCCUGCUCGAUUUGUAAUGCUACAUUAACGACUAGAUUACAUAGCGGAUUAACCAAACACAAUUAUCCUGACAGGAUUGCUUGUAAUCCUGGCAGGAUAACUCGAACCAAACGCACCCAAAAAGUAAUAUGGUUGAAUUAGAUAUGCGAUAAAAAAAAUAUAGUCGGUAAAUAUAUAGUCCAUAGAUCUACAAAUAUUUGUGGUGUAGGUAAUGAUUUAUUUUAUAAUAGUAAACUGGGACGAAUGUUAAAAUUAAAAAUUCCAGGACGUUAACGCACAGUCCCGAAUAAGACAACAGUACAGUGGAUUUUGCCUUUACGACGAGCAUUAAAAAUACCCGCAAAAAUCAUAGAAUGCUACGAAUCUUUGAUAUUUUAGUAUAUCAUUUAAUUUAAUCAAAUAAUUUUAACAUAUUUAAUUUUUAGUUAAAUAAUAGUUGAUUGCUACUAAUUCCUCGCGUUAUAUUUAAUAAUUUGAUAAUAAAUAAAAAUAAAUGAGAUAAUUGGAUAAAAUUUAAAUUAAGAACAAGUAAUUAAUUUCCAAAACAUAAAUUUCAAAAUAAAUAGAAAUUGUCCUUGUUAGGAUAGGGAUUGGAAGGAUCUAUUUCCAUUUUUGACGACGGGGUAAGUAAGAAAAGCCUGCGAGGGACGGAGACGGAGUACCUGCCAGGUACGGAGACGGGGAAGGGCGAGGACGCGGCUUUCUUGCCAGUAAAACACAAAAAAUGACGAAAAAAAAAAGAAUUUAUGCAUUAAUUUAAAAGGGUUAAUUGGCUCGGAGCUAUCUAAACUUUAAUUUACUUGCAGACAGUCGUUGAAAUAUUGAAAUUUUAAUUUUACCAUUCAAACUCAUAGUAUUUUAUAAUUAACCAUCUAAAUUUAUAUUUAUCGACUUAGAUUAACUAAUAUUAGCCAAAUAAUCAGAUCCUGCGGUAUACAUUUUGUUUGAAAAUUAAUUGUUAAAAAUUUAUUUUUUUACUAUAAAAUUAACAUUUUGAUGUUAGAACAAUCCUUUUAUGUUGGUUGUAUAAAUUCGAGUUGAGGUAGAAUACUAUCGGUAGUAAACGAGCCGUUUUACUACCGAUUUGUUUUCGAUGAUAGAUUUCCAAAUUGACGAUCGGCUCCAUUGAACAUGAUCUAUACCACUUGAAGUGUUUAGAAAUCAAAUUUCAAAUCUUUUUGACAUCAUUUGCCUAAUGAUCAAAGGGUUUCAAAAUUUGUAAUUUUAAUGGUCGAUAAGAAGUGUUUUCUCGUUUAACGGCGUAAAGAUAUCCAAAUCAAUUGAAUUUUUGUUAGAAAAUUCUUUAAACUAUUUAAAACAAGAUCUAUACUCUUGAUCUUGAUUACAAGACUCCUAUCAUCAUUUUUUAAAGAGUAUUCAUUUUCAGUCAUUCAUUUUUUUGUUCACUUGAUGGAUAAAAGAACAAUAUCGAAAGUGCGUGAAAUUUGAUUUCUAGAUAGUUUAAAUGGUUUAGAUCAUAUUUAACGGAGCCGAUCAUCAAUUUGGAAGCUCUAUCAUCGAAAACAAAUCGGUAGUAAAACGGCCCGUUUACUACCGGUAGUAUUCUAACUCAACUCGUAUAAAUUCUAUAUUAUAAUAAUUCCAACAUUUGGCAUAUGUUUCUUACAUUAUGUUGAUGGGAUAUAAAUUUAGAUAAUUUUAGAGUUUAGAUAAAAAAUACUAAAGCUUUUAAAUCAUGGGAUUAUUUGGAAAUGGGCGAAAGUUGAAAUAUUACUGCUACAUAAUGUAAGAAACAUAAGGAAUAAUUUCAUAGAUGCCCUCCUAGAAAAUAUUAAUUUCACCAAUACCCUUCUAAAAUUGAUAAUAUCACAAAUACCCUCCGAUAGGUUAAAAAUUAUCAUAAAUGCCCUCUAUUAGUUUAGAUCUGUUAGGUCCCAUUUGAAACCGAGUUAAAUUUUAAAAAUACCAUUUUUACCCUUUAUCUCUUAUUAAUACUUAAUAAUAAAAAUACUAAUAGAUAUUUCAAGAUAAUUUUGUAAAUCUAAAUUUGAGUAUUUAAUAUAUACAUAUUAAAUUAAAUCAUUAAUAUAUAUUAAUUAUUAAAAAAUAUAUAAAAAUUAUAUUUUAUAUAUAGUAUGUUUUUAUCUAAUUUUGGUUUUGUUUUUAGUUUCGGAUUUCGGUUCAAGUUCAGUUUAAAUAUAGACCAAACGUAUAACUGAAUUUACAUACGAUGGAAUUUUAUUUUUUGAUAUCUAUAAUGAAACUAUUCCUAUUCAGCAUUGAUUAAGCUUACCUCAUUUUAAAUCAAGUUCAGAUAAAAUUGCGUAUCUUUAUCAAUUUAUAUUCCUAAUUAGUAAUAGUAAUUUUGAAAUAAAUUAUAGAUUUUAUUUUUUUCCUAUUUAAGCAAAAGUAAAUCACAUAACUAUAUGCAUGAAUUAUUCUGUCGAUUGAAACAAAAAGAGAGUUUUGUUCGAAAGCUAAAAUAUAUUAUGUUUCAGUUUUUUAAUGCAUUUAAUGCAGAUAAAAUUAUCGAGAAUAAUUUUGAUUAAAAAAAAUUUUAGCUUUCAAAAUUAAAGAAAGAUCAGAUAAUUUUUUAACAUUAUUUUCAUUUAAAUUUUUAUAUAUAAUUAUUUAUUCGAUAAAAUAUAAAUAGAGCGACUAGAUUUGGUGAAAUUAUCAAAAAAACUAAAAAAUUCUUAUUUUUUUCAUACACUAAAAUGGAUAUCAACUAAAAAAAUAAAGUUGAGGGAGGAGUUUCAAAAUGGCAUAAGUUGAGGGGAUCUCCAUACAUUUUUACUUAAGAGAACCUUGAGGGUAAAUAAGUCAUUUUAAAAAUUAAUCCAUCUUUAACCCUUUAAUAAUUAUGGUAAAACUAACGUAACUAACAAUAAGGGUAUUAAUGAUAAUUUUUUAUAUUUACAGGGGUAUAGGUGAUAUUUUAAAUUUUAUAAGGGCAUUUAUGAUAUUUUAGACUUUGGGAGGGGUAUCCAUGAAAUUGCCCCUAAUUAUAAAAAUAGUUCGUCACGUUUGACUCAUUUCUCUAGCCCUUUGACUCGAGAACCUACACUGGGGCUUCUAUUUCCCUUUUCCCACGUGCAAAUAGACCAUGUAAACCACAUGCAUUUUUUAUUUUUGGGCUUUUUUUGCAUUUAGCCCCUUGACAAAUUUUAUUUGUAAAAAUAGCCCCGUCCAAAAAUUAUUUGCAAAAAUGGCCCUAUCCCCGCCACGUCAGCGCCACGCGGGCAGGGCGGGCCCAGAUGUUUAAGUUGAACACGGUGAAUCAUUCAGCGUGUUCAAUACAAGAUUUUUGUAUUAGACACGGUGGUUCACCGUGUCCAAUACAAAUACUUCAACAAUGACUAAGUUAGAGGUAUUUGUAUUAGACACGGUGAAUCAUUCACCGUGUCCAAUUAUUUGUAUUGGACACGGUGACUGGUUCACCGUGUCCAAUACAAAUGUUUCGAUCUUAGCUAUUUUGUAUUGGACACGGUGAAUCAUUCACCGUAUCCAAUACAAAACUUUGUAUUGAACACGGUGAAUGGUUCACCGUGUUCAACUUAACCAUCUGUCCCAGCCCCGCCCGCGUGGCACUGACGUGGCGCUUGCGUGGCGAGACCAGGGCCAUUUUUGCAAAUAAAUUUUUGACAGGGCCAAUUUUUUUAAAAAAAUUUGUAAGGGGGCUAUUUGCAAAAAAAGCCCUUUAUUUUUUUAAAGUUUAAUUAAUCGCACGUGCGCAUCUGCACAAAAUUUAAGUUAUUAAAAUAUAUUUUACCCAAAGUUAUAUAAUUGCAAGUGUAUUUUCUCCUGUUAGUCCACGGAUUAAAAUUAUAUUUUUUUCCUAUAAAUAUUUUGAAUAUAUUUAAUAUUACUUUUAUUUUUAAUACAUUUGUUUCAAUUUUUUUUGGUCAGAAUUUUAUAUUAUAAACUUGAAAAUAUAUUUUAUAAAAUUAUUUUUUAUUAGGACAGGCAUAGUACUUUUAUUACUGGUAAAAUUUGCGAUCAAUUAACAACAGUAAAUCUGCAAAUUUUAAUUUAUAUACUAUAUAAAUUUUUUGAAAAAAUAAUAUCAUAUAUAUUAUUCAAAACUUUCAUAAAAAUAUCUAACAUACUCCUGAUUCAUUAAAAUGUCUUUAUUUAUUUUUAAAACUUCCUUCAAAUAUUUCAAAAUCUUAAGAUUUACUAAUAAGAUUUGGAGUUUAGAAAGAUAUUUUCGGAAUAUAAAAGGUAAAUUUAAAAAUUUUGAAUAGUUAAUUUUUUAUUAAUAAUUAAAAAUAGUUAAUUGUAUACAAGUUCCUGCAAAUAUAGUGAAGUACAAAUAUAUCCCUACAAAAUUUAGCUUUUAUAUGUUGUUUCUGUAAAAGUCAUGAUAUUUUCAAAUAUGUCCCUACUGUUAGAAUUCGUUAUAAAAUUUUAGUUAACUAUAGGUUAAAUACUUAAUCCUGAUUAGUUAAUGAGAUGAAUUGGCAUUUUUAUUCCUCUUUAAUUAAAACAUAUUUAUGAUGGCAAAAAGAUUAUUUCAUUUAUAAAAUAGACCGUGCUUGAACGAUUUCAGAGAAACAUAUUUGAAAACAUUAAAACUUUUAUAAGGACAACAUAUAAAAUUGAACUUUGUAGGGAUAUAUUUGCAAUUUCACUAAAUUUGUAACAACAUGUAUAAAAUUAAUCCUAAUUUAAUCCUAAUUAAAAACAUUAAUAAUUAAAAGAAUAAGAGGAGAGAUGUAAAACUAAUUCUAAUUUUUAUAUUAUUCUUCUUAUUCGUGUUGAUUUUUCUUAGAAGGGACUUUCCUUAAUUUGACUCCUUAGUUUGACCCCUUCUCCCCUGGUUUCGUGUUGUUGACCGGUCAACUACGAACCGUGGGACCCACUCCUCUCCCGACCGUUAUAAAGUUUAAACUCCCCUACCUCUAACCUAAAUUCAAAUUUCGCGGCAAAAAAACACGAGAACACACAUGAGUUAAUGCAACAAUUAACAUGGACGACCCCUCCUGGGACCUCUUCUCCUUCCUCCAAGAAGUAGAUGAACAAGAACACACCCUCCACUUCGCCCUCUCUCCCCCGCCCCCUCCCCCGCCGCCGCCGAUGCUGCUGCAUCCGCGGAGCGCGUUUUCGACGUACGCGAGAGUCGGAUCUCACGAUAUUGGCAGUCUUGCGGCGGGGCGGCACGUCGGGUCGGCGGCGGCGGUUAACGUUCAUCGGAGAUUGUUUGGGUUUAUUAGAAGGAUUGGUGAUGGGGGGGUGGCCGCAGCGGGGGUACGGGCGGCUGCGGAGGCAGAGGACGGGGUGGCGGGCGUGGGGCGGAGCCGGGGUUUCCAGCAUAUGAUGAGGGAGAGGUGGCGGAGGGAGCGGAUGAGCCAGGGCUACGCCGAUCUCUACGCCAUGUUGUCUUCUUCGUCCAAGGUGAUUUUAUAUGCGUCACGGCAGUUGCGAAUUUAGAAAAUUUUAUUAGAGAAAUCAAAUAUGAAAUGAAAAAUAAAUAUGAAAGAUGUAAUAAUAAUUAUUUUUGAUGUACUUUUAUAUUUUGAAAUUAAUGCAUAAUGAAAUUAUUAGAUUAGGAUUUUUUUUUCACUAAAAUCACUAAUGUAUUGAAUGAAAUUAAUGUAAAAUAUUUUUUUAUACUUUAAUAAGUGCUUUUUUAAAUUGGACUCCAAGUUUAUAGCAAGACAGUUUUUACUUAUUUAUUCAAAUAUAAUGGCUCAAUGAGUCAAUAAAAUACGGUUACUUAUAAAAUGGACCCCACUGUUGAAAAUUAAAAUACGGUUACUUAUAAAAUGGACCCCACUUUUGAAAAUGUGGGGACUUUUAUUUCACUUUUGAAAAUAUGGGGAAUUUUUCUUGGGAAAUAAAGGUAAUUUUUAAAAAGUUAGGAUACGACCGUAGCAAAGAUUAUCGAUAACUAGUGGAGUUCUCUUGUAUACUCAAUGACCCAUCCGAUGUGGCUCAGUUAAGAUUCAUUUCACACUUUCGACUGAUAACCAUUAACAAUAAUAACUAGUUAAGCCCAAAUCACCAAUACAAAAUACAUAAACCUAAUUAUUAUUGUUAGUGUAGAAUUCUCUAAUAUAUUCAAUGAUAAUUUUUUUCUCAUCUGAUGUAGCACUAUUAAGGUGUCACAAAUAAUAUAUAUUUAUUUAUAUAAAUAUUAAUUUUGCUUGAAUAUUAUUGUAUUUGUUAUAUUAAUGAAACUCAAUAAAAUUCACGUUGUUAGUUUAUAUAUAUAUAUAUAUAUAUAUAUAUANAUAUAUAUAUAUAUUUGCACCGUACAUGAUUUAUUUAUACCUCUCAAAAUUCCGAAAAUAUCUCAUUUACCUUAAUUUUUUUUUUCUUUCCAAUAUACCCCUCAUACGUUUCUAUGUUAUUCCAAAAUACCCCUACAGUUAUUAUCUGUUAAAUUAAUUUGGAUUAAUCGUGAGUUAAAUAUCUACCAGAGUUAAAAAAAAAUCAAAAUGCUUCUUUUCUUCUUAACUUAAGGACAAAUAAGAAACGUGAGUUAAAUAUCUACCAGAGUUAAAAAAAAAAAAUCAAAAUGCUUCUUUUUUCCUUAACUUAAGGACAAAUAAGAAAUGUUGGUGAUGGCAGAAUGAUAUAUUUGAAAAGACCAAACAGCAAAAGACUUUUGUGCCCUUGACUUAAGAGUAAAUAAGAAAAGUUUGUGAUAGUAUAAGGGCAUAUUCGAAAGAAUAAAAUAGUAAUUUUAUAAAGAUAAUAGUUAUUACUAACCGUUAACAGAAUUUAACUCUAGAAAUACAUUUGAAAUAGGUCAGAACGUCAAAAAGAUAAUUUCAAUAUUACCCUUCUAAAAGAGAUAAAUUAAAAAGUCGAAAACUUUUUAGAGGUAUAUAAAUAAUUAUCCCUAUAUUUUUAAUAGGACGCGUUAUGAAUCUGCAUUCAAACGCAUGUUCAUAUUAUGUCCACGCUUAUAGAAGUGUGUGCGAUAUAUAAUUUUUUUCUCUUUUAGCUAUACAAUAAUUUUUAAUAAAAUACUUAAUAAAUAAAAGAAUUAUAUACAUGUACAUGAGACAAAUUCUAGUAAAUCCUGCGUGAACUUCCAUUUUUUUUUUUUUUAAGGGGUCAAAUUUAGUGUUCUGAAAAUGGUGCAAACAGGGGGAUAAGAUCUCGGUCGCGAAGGCGGCCGCUGCGCGGGUAAGAGAGCUCAAAUACCAGAAAGAGCAGCUGCAGCGGCGAAACGCCGAGCUCGCGGUCGUGGUGGCGGCGCAGCGACCGGCGACAGCAGCAGUGGCGAUCAACCUGACGAUCGCGAAUUGCUCGACGCCGAUGGCAAUGGAUGCUUUGACCGCCGCGCUCCAGUGCUUGAAGCUCAUGGAGUUGAAGAUCACCGCCGUCCGAUCGAGCUUCUCCGGCAAGAAUCUGUCGGUGAUUGUGGGUGCGGAGACGAAGGUACGCUCGCAUGUAAUUUUUGUGCAUGUGAGAUUGAUUGGUUACGUGCAUGCAUGUCUUAAGUGAUUGAUCGAGCGCCAUGCACGUAGAAUGAAUUAUGAGGUGUGUUUUGCUGUGUAUAAAACAACUUAUUAUUUUAAAAAUUUAAAAGAACACCAAAUGCCAUUUUUCAUAUUUGAGCCCCACAUUUAUUAAUAGAUUUAAAAUAUACAUUUAAAUUGCAUAGAAAUUUAAAAUAAAAAUAUUUGAAAAUAUUAGAAUCGCCAAAGAAUUUAAAUUUAUAAUUAUUCUAUUCUGAUAACAUAUGUUAAGCAGCUGUAAUCAUUUGUAUGGGCUGCGAGGUCUAUAUAUUAGCUCACAAAUUCAAAUCUAAAUGCCUUAGAUUAUAUAUACAUUAAAUAAAUUAAAAAUUAAAUCUUUCAUAUAUACUCUUUAAGGAUGUAAUUAAAUAAUUAUAUACAGUGUUUAUUGUUGACAUGUCUAAUGAUUUGAGUUAUAAUUCGAAGACCCUGGAUUACGUAGAACACGGUUUAUUGAUAAUUACUUCAAAAAGCACGUGGGUUAGAUAUUUAUUUUUUAAAUAGUCCACGUUCGCAUUGGACUUGUUCUUCUCCUGUAAUUAAGUUUCGCAGUAUUUUUUAAUCAAGGAAACUACCCAACAACUACCCCGGCCACUAUUUCUUUUGACUUUUCUCAGGGUUUUGUGUAAUUUGACUCCUAUCAUUUGGUAUAUUUACCGCUUUACCACAGUAUACAACUAAUGUUGCGUUUGGUUCGGAUAUAAAUAAAAAACUGUUUAUUUCAAAAAUAUAUACAAAUUCAAAGAGUUGUGCUGGAAUACUAUCGGUAGCAAACGGGCUCCGUUGCCAUCUAUUUAUUUUCGAUGAUGAAACCUGCAAAUCAACGAUCGGCACCGUUGAAAAUGAUCUAUAUUACUUGAAGUAUUUAGAAAUCAAAUUUCAUAUUUUUUCGAUAUUGUUUUCUUGUCCGUCGAAUGGGCGUAAAAAUGAAUGACUGAAAAUAAAUAUCUUCUAAAAAAUGAUGAUAGAAAUUUUAUAAUUAAGAUCGAGAGUAUAGAUCUUGUUCUAAAUAGUUUAAAAAAUUUUCUAACCAAAAUUCAAUUAAUUUGGAUAGCUUUAUAUCGUUAAACAAGAAAACACUUCAUAUCUAUCAGUAAAAUUACAAAUUUUGAAACCCUUUGAUCAUUAGGUCAAUGAUGCUGAAAAGAUUUGAAAUUUGGUUUCUAGAUACUUCAAGUAGUGUAGAUCAUGUUCAACGAUGCCGAUCGUCGAUUUGAAGGCUCUAUCAUCGAAAACAAAUGGGUGGGAACGGAGCCCAUUUGCUACCGAUAGCAUUCCAGCUCAACUCCAAAUUCAGAUAUAAGCAGAAAUUAAACUAAUUUUGCGUUUGGAUGAAAAGUAAGUUCUUCUUAAUCCUUAGUUAGUAAACUAUUUUAGUUAGAGAAUUAGUAAAAAAAUUAAUUAGAUUAAUAAAAAUAUUAAUGAUUGAUCAUUUUAAAUAUUAGUUCAUAGAUAAAUAUAUUAAAUUAUUAAUAAUUAGUUAGCUAAUUAAUUAUAAGUAAUAGAUUAAUUAAUUACUUUAUUAUUUAAGCAACAAAUGAUAAUUUAAAUAUAUUAAUUUAAUUAAUUAAUGAUUUAAUAUCAUAAUUAAAAUUAAAUUUAGGCUUUAACUAACCUUGUUCCGACUUGGGAACAAGCUUGUUCCAGGAAAAAAGAUGGAAUAGCAGUUCCAGUAUUAUACCGGCUUAUUUCAGGGAUCCGAGAACUAGUGUUUUCAAUUACGAAAUUAGAAACAAAGGGGAAAACAAGAACUUAUUCCCUCCUUUGUUUUCGAACCAAACACUGCCAAAUUGUUUUAAUUAGUUUGUUUCCUCUUAGGAAUUUAUCCCUAAAUUAAACUUGCAUGAUAGCAAAGAAAUAGUUUUUGAAAAACUAUUAGAUAGUAAAAUGUAGAUUAUCAAAUGAUAACGUACUAAGUCGUAUUGCCCUGUACGAAUAGUACGUAUACGGUAGGUUUUAUAGUGAAACAAAUAUUAAGUCAUGGGAUAAGAUUGUUAAAUAUAUCUUGUUUGAACUAUAAGAUGGCAAAAUAAAAGUGCUCUAAAUUACAGGGUUAAAUUAUAUAAAGUCUAACAUUUUUUUCCUUUUUCUUUUUCCGGAUUGAAAAAAGUUAUUGUUCCGUAGUUUUGUUAUGAGUAUUAUUAUUCUUCUAGGUAUUUGCUCUUAAUUUAAUUUACUCAUCAUUUGUUACCCUCGAGUAACUAUUAGGGUGUCACGCCCCAAGCCCACAAUAGAGGUCUCCCAAGCGCGUGUUCAUAUCCGUCCAUAUAUAUAUAUAUAUAUAAAAUUUUCUUCCUAAACGAAGUGCUACAAAAUCUAUACUUUCAUUCAUAAAAUAGAAUACGAAUAUAUAUCAUUUGUAGAAUAAGAUAGCCAAUAUUAGAGCAUAAUAGGAACUUGCUAAAACUAGAAAUUUAUAUUUUAUACAAACUUUUGCCAACCUUAGAAGCUCACAUAGGUUUUUUUUUUUUUUUUUUUUUUUUUUUUUUUUUUUUUUUUUUUUUUUUUUUUUCCAAAAUACAACUUAGAAAAAAUAUAACACUUUUCAUCUCCCUAAAAUGAUAUAUCUUCAACUUGUGGUCUUACAACUGGCUACACAAAAAGGCAGGUGGACGAUCAUCUACUGCGCCAAGUUCCUACCUCAAUUUAGUACUCCAACAGCAUACGGAUCUGUAGAAUAGAAUUGAAAAAAUAUAAAUAUAGUUCUCAGUAGAUAAGACUUCUAAAAAAAAAAGCUCGACCUAAUCUAGGAUCUCUUUUUCGGACUUCCACGAGAACUAGGCUUUAGCUUUUAAAAUUUGAUACAAAAUUUUAAAAUUUUAAAAUUCAGUUUAGAUAUUUUAUAUAUAUAUUUCAAAUUCUAUCCAAAUAAUUUUUAAAAAAUUUAUAAAUUUCUAAAAUUUUUCUCAGGUAAUUUUAAACUUUAAAUUUUUGUCCAAAAAAUUUUUAAGUUUUCAUUUUUCAAAAAAAAUAAAAUUUUAAUUCUUUUCCACCAUAAUACCUCUCUAAUAGUUAAAAACAUUUAGAAAAUAUUUUUUACUUUUCAAAUUUUUAAAUAUAAAAAUUUUAAAACCUAAAAAAUAAUAAUAAAAAAUAGUAAGUCCGUAAGGGCCUGUCCUGGCCCAAUUUGGUCCAUGCUAUUUGGGCCCAACGGCCGUGCUGGGCCACAAGUUCGGAAAAGUUUGGCUCGACUCAAAUUUGCGGCUUGGCCUUGCCGGGGCGGGCAAGUCCUGAGCCGGUAUCGGUCCAAAAAAAAUGUUAGUCGUGCUGACCCAGCACAACCCACAUUAUGGGCGUGUUUGGUUCAAAGUUGGAGUCGGAAUCGAAAUCGGAAUCGGAAUCAAAAUAAGCUGGAAUCGGAAUCGGAAUGACUCAUUACCAAAUUUUGUUUGAUUCAUCACCUGAAUCGGAAUCGGAAUAAAUCAUUUUCAUUGUCGGUAUUUGGUUCGGGUGGUACAAAAAACGUAAUCAAAUUAAUAUAUUAACAUUAUCUUUAUAAUAUAUUAAUUUAAAUUCAAAUUAAAAAUUAAAUAUUAAAAAUUUAUAUCAAAAUUUUGAAAUAAUAUCAAAAUUUUAAAUCUAUUUUUUUUUAAAAAAAUUAAACUUUGAAGAUGAGUGGAUAAUUCAAAAUAUGAAACUAAAUUUUGAUUCAUUCAAAUUCAAACUAAAAUUAUAAUUUAAAAUUUAAUUUGAAUCCAUAAAUUUAAUUUAAGUUUGAAAUAAAAUUUGAAUAAAAUUUUAUAUAACUUAAAAUUUAAUUUAAAUUCAAAUUCAUCAGUUAGAUUCGAAAUACUUGAUUAAAUUUUAAUUUUUAAUUUAAGUUCAAAUUAAAAUUUAAAAUUAUAUAUUUAAUUUUUAAAUUUUAACUCAUAUUUUAAUUAAAAAGGUUGAAAAAAUAAAUUUAAUCCGAAUAAAUAUCCAUUCCGGCCGAAUUCAACUUUCAAUCCGGCCUCCUAGACCAGAUUGAAAAAUGAGAUGAUUGAGAGAUUCCCAUUCCACUCGGGAAUCGAAAUCAGAAUAGGACUUCCGCGUACCAAACACCUACAAACGGAUUCACCCAUUCCGAUUCCGAUUCUAGGGUGAAAAAGAUGCCAACCAAACACGCCCUACAUCUCUACUUGUAAUUCUGCAGGUGAUCUAAAUUCGAAAAAAAAAAAAAUCUAAUUUAUAUUUAAUCACGCAAAGUGCAUAUCUAAAAUGUAGCAAUUUACUAGCUAGUAAUGGUUUGGUAAUUAAAUGAGAAAUUACUAUUAGAUGCCCAAAUUAUUACCCUUUUAGUUUAGAAAUUUAUCCUCCAAAAUAAAAUUAAAAUUAAAAUUUAUGUCUUUUAGUUGUUAUCUAACUUGUCGAUGUAAAUUAAAGGUUGAUGUCGCUCAAGUGGAGAAAACAAUGACUAGCGCUUUGAUGGAUGUGGAGGAGAAAUUUUGCGCACCAAACUCGACCCAACCAAGCAAAUGGAGCGUAACUUGUCACGUGGAAAACGUAGCGUAGUUUUAUAUGUUUUUGGAAGCAUGUAAACUUUUAUUUUAUGAAGUCGUUUUUUGUAAGAGGUAUUUUGAAUCGAUAGAUGCCGGUAAAGUUGAUUUAGAGCAUUUGAACUAUUUAUGAACUGAAUUUCAUAAUUUUUAAAUAUUAUUUACUUACGGAUUAAAGAGUUGGAAAAUUUAUAAUUUUUGACGAUUUAUAUGAGUCGUUUGCUUAUUUAGGGUAUGCUUGUUUGGGUGAAAGUGGGAUGGAAGUGGAGAGGAGGGAGUCAUUUUCGCCGUAAACGAUUGCUUCCAUUGUUUGGUUCGUCGUAAAUAAAUUACGGUCGAAACUCGAGUUAAUUUGAAACGACGUAAUUGACUUCGGCUCAUCGUGUACUGAAGUCAAUUACGGUGAAGAGAGAUGAAGAAAAAAUAAUAAAAUAAUAUAUUAGGUAAAGAUAGUUAUAUUUAAAUAUAUUUAAUUAUGGUAUUAAUUACUUUUUUUAUUUAGUUGACAUAUUUAAAAUAUGAUAAAAAUUGAUUAGUUAAAUUUUAAUGUUUUUUUAUUUAAUUUGUACAAUUAAAAUAUGAUAAAAAUUAAUUAAUUAAUUAAUUAUUAAUAAUUUUAUUUUAUAAUUUUAUUGUUGUAUUACUAUAACUUAUGUACAAAAAAAUAAUAUAGUUAUUUUAAAUUAAAUUUAAUUAUAUAAAAAAUAUAAUUAUAUUAUUUUUAUUUAUUAAAUUAUUUAUUAUUUAUGUAUAAAUUAUAGUUUUAAAUCGUACACUUCGUAUUAAAUAAACAGUAAAACUAAUGAAACUUUACUUCCAUAACUACGAAGCAAACAACAAAAAAUAAAUAGUUUUCACCGAAUUUUAUUUCAAUCCAAAAUCUACUUCAACUCAAAGUUCAGCUCUGAUGAAACAAACAUGAACUUAUUGAUGCAAACCGCUUGCGGAUGUGUUUUUUGAAUUUUUUUUUUUACGACUUAUACGAGCCGUGGCUCGACACGUAAGAAUGCUUUUUCUUUUUUUCUUUUUUUUAUAUAGACUACCUGAAGAACAAGUCAAACAAGUGACUAAUUUUAUAUGAUUAUUUGCAGCAUAAUAAUAUAAAAUCUAUAAGAGAACAAAAUUUGUGGUCAAAUGUAAUAUCACCCGCCAAGUAAUCACCAAACAUUCGUACUUCUUUUUAUUUUUAUAUAUCUACAGCAUUGCACCAUCCCCUAAUUUAUUAUACAUCAUAUGCAGGAAAUUAAUAAAUAAAACCCAACCACAGAAGAAACUGGUGUGAAAUCACGUGAUAACCAACUCACAGUUCGCCGACUUUUUUUUGUUUUUAUAUUAUAGGAUAAAUUUCAAAUACCAUUCAUAUAAUUACGUGUUUUCUUGCUUUUAUAUUUUAUAAUUUAUAAUAUAUCAUUUUAGUACUUUAUAAUUUUAUUUUAUUUUUCUAUUAGUACUUUCGUUCAUUUUCCGUUAACUCAUUUACAAAAAUUUUAGAUACCCCAUUUAUAUAUGAUUUAUCAAAUAUUCAUUUUCGUACUCUGUGAUUUAUUGAAUUUUCACUUUAGUACCUUAUGGUUUUAAUUUUGUUAUUGAUUUAACGGAAAAAUUAACGGUAAAUAACGGAAAGAAAAAAAGAAACCACGUACGGGAUACUAAUUAUGUAAUACAUUUUAAACCACUGAAUACUAAAGUGCGAAAGUGCGAAAUCACAGAAAUGAUAUUUGAUAUUUUUUCUAUAUUAUAUAAGCAGCAUCAUCUUCAUCUAAUUUGCACGAAUUAUAUAGGCAAUGAUACAUUAAUUGUACUGAUACUGUUAAUAUAAGUAGAGAAAUACACGAAAAAAAAAGAGGAAAAAGAACAAUAUUUUUUUUAAAAAAAAAGUGGCACUAGAUCUGAUAGCUCUGGGCAUGUGCUGACCUAAUUUUAUCUCCUAAUCAAAUAAUUAGGAAAAAUUGUACAGAGGCCGCUUCAACUGUAACUCUUUUAUUUAAUUUUUUUUUUAAAAAAUUGACAUCUAAAUAUUUUAUAUUUUAUUAAAUAGUUUAAUAAAAUUAAUCUUUUCUUAAUUUAAGUUACGAGUCAUAUAGUCCUUUCGGUUGUAUGUCUUACAUGUAUUCUUAUACAUCUUUCAAAGACCAAAAAAAAUAAAAAAAUAAAAAAAUCUAAUUUUCUACUCUAGCAUAUUCUUUUUUCAACCAAAACAUAAAUAAAUAAAUAUUCUUUUUUGCCAAAAUUUGAUGAUAUAUAGUAUAUAUAUAUAUAUAUCUAGAUUCGAAUGAAAAAAAAAAAAAAUCCAGCUUAAUUUUCAAGUUCAUUUUUGGACUGGAUUUUAGUCUAAUAAUUAAAGAAAACUAAUGGGGGCCAGCAAAACCAUUUUCUUUUUUACAAAAAAAUAGAUAAAAACUCAAUAAGUGAAAAAAAUAUAUAGAAACAAACGUUGAAAAACUCAUAAUUUUAGCAAUUAGACUUCAUAAAUUUUAUCAAAUAGUUUCGUUUUGUAUUGUAUAUAACCUUGCAAUUAAUUGUUUGAAAUACAAAAAAAACAUAUUCUUCUACUCUGGAGCAUGAAAAUGUAAUACAAAUGGAGGAUACUUUCACUCUAUUAUUCAAUCGUGAUGCUUAAUUAUGACCAAUAGAUCGAAUAGGAAAAAAAAAGAAUGUUUUCCUUUUUUUGAACUCUGAAAGUGAUAUAAAAUUAUGUGCAAGGCAUGUAAUGAAAACAAUUUGCUUAAUUAAUUUAGUAACAACGCUCAAGCACUACAACAAAAAUGAUCUAUAGCGACACUUUUAAAUGUAGGUACAUGUCAAAAAAGUGCUGCUAGCUAAAAUUACCGACACUUUAAAAAAAUGUUGCUAUAUGUGGGGUCGCUAGGUAUAUAGUGAUAGUUAAAGAGUGUUGCUAUAACCUAAAAGAGUGCUGCUAAUUUACCAACACUUAUUUAAGUAUUUAGCAACCGCCGAAACUCUAUCUCGUUUGCUGCGGUGACGGAGGAGGACGACAGGAAAUGCUCUUCGUCUAGAAUUUCAGUAGAUUGAGUGAAGAGAGAAGAAAAAAUGGUAAUUGAUUUUUCUUUUUUUUUGCUUUUCUGUUUGUAAUCGGGUCAAAUGGACUGGGUGCGGUGGGUUGAGUAGAGUAAUCUUUUAUUUUUUAUUGGAUUAGGCUUUAUAUUUAGGCAUAAGUAGAUGUUUUUUUAAGUUUUAGCAUAAAUGAGACACUUACUUAAAAGUGUCCCAAAUAUGUGUCCCUAUAACCUAAUUCUGUUGUAGUGAUUUUUGGACUGGAUUUUAGUCUAAUAAAGAAAACUAAUGGGGGCCAGCAAAACCAUUUUCUUUUUUACAAACAAAAUAGAUAAAAACUCAAUAAGUGAAAAAAAAAUAUAGAAACAAAUGUUGAAAAACUCAUAAUUUUAGCAAUUAGACUUCAUAAAUUUUAUCAAAUAGUUUCGUUUUGUAUUGUAUAUAACCUUGCAAUUAAUUGUUUGAAAUACAAAAAAAAACAUAUUCUUCUACUCUGGAGCAUGAAAAUGUAAUACAAAUUGAGGAUACUUUCACUCUAUUAUUCAAUCGUGAUGCUUAAUUAUGACCAAUAGAUCGAAUAGGAAAAAAAAAGAAUGUUUUCCUUUUUUUGAACUCUGAAAGUGAUAUAAAAUCAUGUGCAAGGCAUGUAAUGAAAACAAUUUGCUUAAUUAAUUUAGUAACAACGCUCAAGGGGAGUGCCCUAUGUAUAUAUCAAACCGUUCGAUAAAACUUAGGAGGUCUAAUUGCGCAGAUUAAAUAUUUAGGGGUUCUAUUUGCAAAACUGUUGAUGUUCAAGGGACUUUGUUCAUAUUUUUAUUUUAUUAGUAAACUUAUAAACUUUUAAUUUUAGCAAUUUUUUUUCUUAACUUUAUCAACUACUCUAAUAGACUUCUUUGCUCAAUUAGAAUUACUAAUUAUGCAGUCCUUUUGGUUUUCAUAGUUGGCAUAAAACCAAAUUAAAUAAAGUUUUAAGAUACAAAAAAAUUUACUUUUUUUAUUCUAAUGUAUAAAGGUUACAUAAGAAGCAAUGGUGCAAAUUAAAAAAUAAGGGUAAACUUUAAAUAUCACCCCUUUGAUUUCACACUUUCUUAUUUUACUAUCCUGUGGUUUAAAGUGUAUCAAUUUAGUACUCUAUAGUUUCAAAUUUUUUUUUUUCGUCAACUCUUCCGUUAGUAUUUUAUUAAAUUAUAUACAAAAAAUUUCAGAUACCCCACUUAGGUUAUCGAAUAUUCACUUUAGUAGGCAUCUUUUAGUUUUAAUUUUGUCAUUGAUUUAACGAAAAAAAAAAUAGUGGAGUGAAUAAUAAAAAAAAAAGAUAAAACUACCGGUUACUAAAUUUAUAUAUUUUAAAUCACAUAAUGAUACUAAAAUAUAAAAAUACGAAUGGUAUUUGAAGAUUUUCUAAAAAAAAAAUAAAGGCCAAUUUGCAUAAAAAAAUCCCUUACUUGACUUUUGCAAAACCGCGCGCCACCUUUUUCGCUUUACGCAGAUUCGUGUCCACUUUUCAGCAAACUGACCAAAAUACCUUUUUUACUUUUUCUCUUCCUACUUCUCCUCCUCUUCGUUUCUCGUCCUUCUUUUUUUUCUCGCCGGCAGACGCGGAGGCGAAACGGUCCGUCUCACCUCUCACACCUCAUUCGCCUAGCCCUCGCCCUCUCGCCAUCCGCCCCUUGCCCUCCCGUCCAACAGACCCCCCACUUCCUCGCCUCCACCCCCCAAAGGCCGCCACGACUUUUUUUUUUUUUUUGGCUUUUUUUCUUUCUUUAUCUUCUCCGACCUCUCCAACGUCUCCGACGACGAUGCUUCUCUCGUCCUUCUCAUUCUUCCCGCCCUCUCAUCUCUCCCUCCCAUCAUUCCUCCUGCCGCCUCCGACGACAUGCUAUCUCGCCGGCGCCGACGUCGACACCGUAGAGGUCACUCUGCGGCGUUACAGGCACGACGCGGGGUCUUAGCGGUGUCGCGCGGCGCACCGUGGCUGUUGCAGAGAAGCGGUGACAAAAAAAUUAAUAGAAAAACAAAAAAAAAAAUAAAGAUAAAAAAUUAUAUAAAAAAGAAGAUGAACAUCAAAUGUAUCGUAACCUGCAAAAAAAUUAGUAAGUUGUACUAUUUAAGAUGUACAACUGCAGUUAAGAUGAACGAACACACUCUUUAAACGAAAUAACACUCUUUGAAAAAAUUUUCACACUAUUUCUCUUCUUAUACACCUUCAGAUUAAACUGCACCAUUAUAUAAAGUUACACUCUAUUAAACAAAAGUUGCACUGUCUCUCCCUCUUUUGUACUAUUUCCUCUGUAAACUAUUUUUUAUCUCUAAACCUGACACCUUUAAGAGAUAAUUUAGUACUGUUCUCCCUCUUAUUGCACAAUUUCUGUGUAAUAAUAGAGGAAAAUAGGGCAACAAGAGAAAAACGUGCAAGAGAGAAAAAACGCACGUUUUAAAGAGAUAAUAUAUCUUUUCCUCCCUCUUGUUGCAUCCAUUUCUUGUAAACAAGAAGGAAAAUAGUGCAACAAGUAAGGAGAAACUGCACCUGUUCUUUAAGAGAUAUAAUCAACUGUUUCUUCUCUUGUUGCACUGUUUUCUCCUUGUGCAACCAUUUUUUGUGUAACAAUAGUGAAAAUAGUAAAACAAGAGGAGAACAAUCAAUAAGAGGAAAAACAUGCAAUAAGAGGAAGAACUGAACCCUUUUAAGAAAGAUAUUAUCACUGUUUCCCCUCUUGUGCACUGUUUCUCCUCUUUUUGUGCAGCCAGUUUCUGUAUAAAUAAGAGGCAGAAAGUACGUGCAAACAGAAGAAACAGUGCAACGAAGAGGAAAACAGUAUAAAUACUAUCAACUUAAAAGGAUCAGUUAAAAUAAAAAAUAGUAUAAUUUUCGUUCAAAUAUCAUAAUUUUUAUCUUAAAGCAGCAAGUUUACUACUUAAUAGUGCACUUUAAUUUUUUUGUAAUUAAGAGUAAUUUAUUUCAUCCUUCUUUAUAUAAUCCUUUAUCUUUAUUUUUUUACUUUUUCUAAUAAUUUUUUUUCACCUCUCUGCCAACAGCUACGCCGCGCGUGACGCGCCGGUGACGACGCCUGCUAAGGACCCCCCGUCACGGCUGAUACGCGCGUGACCUCUACGGUCGUGACGUCGCGCGCGGCGAAAUAAAUCGUCGUCGAGGUGGCAGAAAAUGAAGGAGAGGGAGAGAUGAGAAGGGCGGGGAAGGGCGAGAGGCGUCGUCGUCGGAGACGGUGGAGAAGAGUCGGAGAAAAAAAGAAAAGAAAAAAGCAAAAAAAAAAAAAGUCGCGGCGCGGUUUUAACGGGGUCGGAGGCGAGGAAGGUGGGGGGUGCAUGGACGAGGGCAAGGGCGAGGGCGAGAAUAUGAGGGUGAGAGGCGAGACGGACCGUUUCUGCCUCCGCUCCGCCUCCGCUCUACUGGCGAGAAAAAAAAAAGAACGAGAGAAACGAAGAAGAGAGAGAAAGAGGAAAGAGAAAAAGUAAUAAGGGUAUUUUGGUCAGUUUGCUGAAAAAGCGGACCGAAUCUGCAAAAAUAAAAAAGGUGACCCGAUUUUGCAAAAGCCUAAAAUAGGUGGAUUUUUUAUGCAAAUUGGCCAAAAAUAAAACGUGAGUUCUUAAAAUACAAUGCGCGUACGUGCACGUGCAUGCAUGCCCACGCAUUAUGUCCCCAUGAUAGGGAGCACAGCGUUGCCAAUUGAUAACGACUCUCCACAUGGCCCAAUUGAAAAGCGACACGUGUCACAAACAACUCCCAUGCACGUGCGGCGGCGCCGGUAAAAGAAAAAAUAAGGGUGAAAAAAUUGCACGAGGACCAAUUCGGCAUAUUAUGUACUAAUAAUAAAAAUGAGCUGUGAACUUCAAAAAGUAAAUAUUUAAUUUGUAAAAAUAAGUUGGUAUAUAUCCAAAAAUUAUAUCUUUUGAUAUGCCGUCGUUUUGAUUGUGGUAGAACGCAUCCAAUGAGCUAGCCCCAGAUGUUAAAUUAGAAAUACCUAUCAUAAAUUUUUUUAAAAAAAUUUUAGGUUAUGGUGUACGUGAUGAAGUUGUACACCAGGUGCAGGGAGUAGUUUCCUAAAAAGCAUGUGUAAACAUGACGAAGCAAAAGUCAAAUGUUUUAUACAUGUUCUUUUUAAAGGGAUUAUUAUAUUAAUUAAGUCAAAGAGUUCAGUCAAAUACCAAAGAUGAGACUUUCACCUGAAGCAAAGUAGUAAGAUACAAAUUAAAUAAUAAGGCCACUAUUUAAUAAUUGUCGUUGCAAAUUGCUUUGAUUAAAUUAAGCUCCACCAUCACUACUAAUUGAAUACAUUAAAUAAUAAUUAAGUGUUUCCAUAUCAUUUUACUAUUUUUAAUUUACUUAGGUAAAGUAUUCGCAGCUAAACCUUGCCAUUUGAAACUAAUUUUCGCUAUAAAUUAAGUCGGUCAAAUUUCCUGAUUUGUCUUUCAUACAUCUGUGCACACCAUGCGUAUGUAUGUUCUUAAUUCAUCUCACAUUUUAAAUCUAACUAUACAAAUUUUAAUAAUAAAGAAAAACUUGAAAAUUAAUAGGCGAGUUGUGGAGAUUAAACUAUCAGGAAUGCGUGGUGCGUGCAUGGAAGCAAAAAUUUAUCAAAAUUACAGAGCGACAUGUAGUCAAAUUAAAUGCGUCAAACGCGUAGAUAAAUUUUUAAAGGGAAUAAUUUUAAGUCAAAGGUUUCAAGAAGGGUUCAUAGUAUACAGUGUGAAGAAACCAAACUUAAUUUCAAAGCAUCAUCCUACUAAAUAGGAAUUAGAUCCUACGUACAUAGAUGAUCAGCUCUCUCUCUUGAUUAUAAAAUAGUAUGUACAAAAUAGUGCUUACACUUUAACAAAACAAACAAGCAAACAAUUAUUUCGCAUAAUAGAACUGUAUUUCAACAGCUAAUUUAUAUUGAACCGAACCCUACUUAAUUACUUUCUUAGGCUACAAUUAAACCAAUCGAUCCAACUUGGUAAAAAAAAAAUUCCUACUUAUGAUGAGGCGGCGUCGGGGGGCAAAUUCCGGGAGGACUACGGCCGGAAUGGUUGCUGCAGUCAGAAGCUUUCGCCGGCGGAACGGGCCCUCUAACACUUAUAACCUGCAGCAAGAACCUGCUGCGAAAUCCCGCUGCGGCCGUCAAAGGCAGCAGAUUUGCUUCUGCUGUGGCAAACCUCUUCGCUGCAUCGACCGUCGAAGCCGGUUUCGCUUCUGCGACGGCAAAACGCUUCUCUCCGUCGACCGCUAAAGGCGUCUUGUUUAUAUUGGCGGUCGGAAAAGAGUGCUGGACUAAUAUUAUGAUAGAGGAGAGAAAGGCCAUUAUAGUUAGGGUGAGGAGGCAUGAGGAAUAUAGGUUUGAGAAACGACGACCCAUGGGGUGCAAGUUGGAGGAGAACACAAGAAGUGGAAGGUGUAGUAGUAGUACUAGCUCGUAAGUUGAAGGGACUUCAAUUGUGAAGGAUUUAUAUAUAGAAGAGGCUCUCCAUGACUCAGUCAUCUAAUUAAUUUGGUAUCGUAUUUGUUUUAUUUUUUUUAAUAAAAUUUUAUAUAUCGAAAAUCAUAGAUGUGAACGGUAGAUUAUUUGCAAUGUUUUCAUCUAAAUUUUUCAUUUUUUAUUACCGAAUAAAAAUGUGAAUGAAAGCCUCUUUUUUUUUUUAACUCAGUUUGACCGUUGCAAGUUGAACUGCAUGUUUCGUUUCAUUUUUCUAAGUAGAUGACGUUAGGUUCACGCAAUAACUGACGUAUAUAUAAUACAAUUGAUCAUUACUCGCUGUGAUGGGUGUAUGUACUAAUAAUCUCCAACCCCAUUGAUUACUUAAUUGAUUUGCAUAUUCUUAUAAUAUAUACUAAUCUUUUCACCAUUAAGGAAUGGUGUCUUUAGAUGUAUUCAUAAUACUCUUUUCUUUCUUUUUUUUCUUUUUUGAGGGAAAACAUGCCUGAGACGAAUUUUAUUUAAUUAAUUAAUAGAUACAGGCUCAAAAAAUUCAUCAAUAGAAGACCAAAAAGAAAUUUUUUUUUGCUAGUGAGUUCCCAAGUGGCCAAGCGAUCCACGACUACAGAAUUCUAAGAAAAUCUCGAAUUUCAAUCUAAAACAGAAGCAUUUGAAUCUUUCUGUAAAAGUCCACAACUCCGUGAUUCUUGUCUGAGCUUCGGGUAUUAGCGAAUUUGAAUGAUAACUCAUGAGAUGCAAAGUUUUGAUGAUGGAUACUGAAUAUGAGAAUAUAUAAAAGUUUCUUCGGAAUACAUUUGCAAAAUUAAGAAUCUCUGUCACUUGAGAGAUUGCACCAAUUUCCACCGAGCAAGCAUCGUGGACCGCCUUUAUUGCGUCAGAUAUACAUGCGAUGAUUCAUAACACAUUCGGCCAAAUUUGGUUUUGGAAUAAAUAGAGAACAGCAGCUUCUGUUCUUCUUAAUGAAUUAUCCACGGUGCCAAGUUCUACCUCAAUUUAGUAAGAAAAAAUAUAACACUUUUCAUCUCCCUAAAAUAAUAUAUUUUCAACUUGUGGUCUUACAAGUACUGGCUACACAAAAAGGCAGGUGGAUGAUCUAUGUACUGCACCAAGUUCCUACCUCAAUUUAGUACUCCAAUAGCUAGGGGUGGAAACGAGCCGAGCUCGAGCGAGCUUAUGUCAGCUCAAAUUCGGCUUGAAAUUAAUUUCGAGCCUAAAUCUAGGCUCAAGCUCGGCUUGAAAUUAAUUCGAGCCGAGCUCGAGCGAGCCUAAUUUCCAGUCGAGCCGAGCUCGAGCUCUAAACGAGCCGAUUGAAAUUCUCGACAUUAUAUAAUCAAUAGUUUAUUUUUUAUAGAACAUUACCUAUAAUUUGAUGCAAUAUGUCCAAUAGUUCAAAAUACAAAAUAAUUGCAAGAAAUGUGAGCUAGGGUGACUGUCUGACUGGGUGAGUCUUGAUAAGAGAGAACGAGAGGAAGAUGAAGGAGAGAGGGGGGAUAUUAGGAUUUGAAAAUUGAAUGGAUCAUAUUUUAUGUUAUGUGCGAAUAGUGAAAGUCUGAAGAGAGGUUGUGUAUGCUAAUUUUAGUUUGCCUCAAUGCUGACGUUCCACUGUAUUUUAUCGCCAACAAUAAGGCAUCCCAAAUCUAAAUUAAAACCUUAUAUAUAAUUAAAAUACAUAAUAUAAUAUUUAGAUGAGCCAUAUGUAUCGUAACCACCGACUUCUGGCUUCCAGCUCGUUUUCGACGUUGCCGACUUUCGAAUCGUGUUCGAUCGCUCAUUAAACUUAUCUAGAGUAUUUAAGUACCUAGAAAAUAAAUUUUAUGAUUAUCACAAUCAUUUGCCUAGUGAUCACGAAGUGCUCAAUCAAACGGUCCCUGCAAAAUAAAAUAUCUUACAAAAAUGUUAAUAAUAUACAUUAAUAUUUUAAAUCAAAGUAUUAUUGUUUAUAUAUAUAAAGAAUUUUCUAUCAAAAUUUCACGUUGAUUGGAUUUAUAUUGUCUCUACACCGUUAAACUUGCAACGCACACAUACGGCCAUCAAAUUGUUAUUUUGACCCAUUCGCGAUCACUAGGCAAAUUAUUAUCGAAAUAAGAAUAAAUAUUUAUUUCUAGGCUACUCUCAAAUACUCUACAUCUAAGUUUAACGAGCGCACAUUCAUUCAAUAGUCGCAACAUCGAAAACACGAGCACGAAUGUCUCUGUGCUUCCUAAGCCAUAGAGCCUCACUCAAUAUAUAAUAAUAAUAUACAAUAUAAUAUAUAUAAUAUAUUCGGAGCUUUUCGAGCAUAGAUUUCAACGAGCUGAGUAUAUAUCAACUCGCGCUUGAAAUAAUUCGAAGCCUUUUACUUUUGUUCAAGCUCGCCUCAUUUAAUUUCGAUCGGACUCGACAGACCGAAUAUCGAGCCGAACACGAGUCGAACGCGAGCCGGCUCGCUCGUUUGCCCCUACCUAAUAGCGAAUAUCGUGAAAUAGAGCUGAAAACUAUAAACAUAGUCUUCAGUAGAUAAGACCUCUACGCAAAUAAAAAAAAAGCUCGACCUAACUAGAUCUCUUUUCGGACUUCCACGAGAAACUAGGCUUUAGCUUUUAAAAUUUGAUACAAAAUUUUUAAAAUUUUAAAAUUCAGUUUAGUAUAUUAAUAUAUAUAUAUAUAUAUAAUUAUAUUUAUAUUUAUUAUAUUAUAUAUUAUAUAUUUAAAUUCUAUCCAAUAAUAUUUUAAAUAAAUUUUAUAAAUUUCUAUAAUUUUAUUCAAGUAAUUUUUAAAGUUUUUAAGUUUCAUUUUUCAAAAAAAUUAAAAUUUUAAUUCUUUUCCACCAUAAUACCUUCUAAUAUUUAAAAACAUUUAGAAAAUAUUUUUACUUUUUAAAUUUUUAAAUAUAAAAAUUUUAAAACCUAAAAUAUAAAAAAAAUACUAAGUCAAUACGGGCCCGGCCCGGCCCGAUUUAGUCCAUGCUAUUUGGGCCCAUCGGAUACAAGUUCAAAAAAUUCUGCUCAAUUUGAAUCUACUGCAGAGCCUUGCCGGGGCUAGUCCUCAGCCGGUAUCGGUCCAAAAAAUGUUUGUCGUGCCAAUCCAGUACAGCCCACAUUACAUUCCUACAUGCAAUUCCACAUAUAAUCUAAAAAAAAAAAAAAAAAAUCUAAUAUAUAUUUAAGCCCAUCUAAAAUGUAGCAGUCUACUAUCUAGUAAUGAUUUGGUAAUUAAAUACGGAAUUACUAUUAAAGGCCUAAAUUAUUACCCUUUGUUGUGUACGAUGAGCUGGUAGAAAAAUCGAAACUAAUUUUUUUAUUUUUUUAUUUUUUAGAGUUUAGAAAUUUAUAUUUCCCCAUUUGAGUCAAAAUAAAAUUAAAAUUUAUAUCUUUUAUUUGUUAUCUGACUUGUCGAUAUAAAUUUAAGGUUGAGGCCGCUCAAGUGGAGAAAACAAUGACUAGCGCUUUGAUGGAUGCGGAGGAGAAAUUUUGCACACCAAACUCGACCCAACAAAGCGAAUGGAGCAUAACGUGUCACGUGGAAAAUGUAGCAUAAUUUUAUAUACUUUUAGAAGCAUAGAGGCUUUUAUUCUAUAAAGUUGUUUUUCAUAGGAGGAAUUCUGAAUCGAUAAUCGAUACGGUUAAAUUUGAUUUAGAGUAUUUGAAUUAUUUAUAAACAGAAUUAUACAAAUUUUAAAAAUUAUUUACUUACGAAUCAAAGAGUUGCGAAAUCCACAAUUUUUGAUGACUUACAUGAGUGGUUUGCUCCUUCAUUGAUGCAAAGCAAUUCAAACAGCUACAAUUCUUUCUAUUGUCUACAUAAUGUUUGAUAACUCCAAUCUAUCAUUAGUAAAGAAUGUCAAACCUCUAUUUUUACAAAAUUAUUUAUUUUCAAUCGUUUUUUUUUUUUAAACUCUUUGGUAGGCUUGAUAAUUAUUUUUAAACAUUACAAAGUUCUAUUUUUUAACAUUUCAAACCGUCUAAGCCAAUUUCAAUGUUAUUCAUUAUCAAUUUGGAAUUCUGAUCAUUGAAAACGACUUGAUAGGAUAAGUGCCGUCGUUUAUCGUAUACUUUUGUGUGUUUUUGUAAUUCCACGAGUCAGGUUCACUUUUUCCAGAAAUGCUCAAAGUGCCCUGAACUAUAUAUAUUAUAAUUAUUGAUUGAAAUUUAAUGCGUUCUUGGCUAAUAUUUGAUCUAGCAAUUUAAAAAUUGAUGGACUAAAUGUAACAGUGGUCACUAACUAUUUUCCUAAAUUAAAUAGUUGUGAUGCAUGUACACUUUAAGUAAAUUGGUUGUCUUAUUUCUAAUAGCUCGAGUUAUUGGACAUUAUGGUUAGCGCUGACGAUCCAAUAACAAUCUGUGUAGGUUUAGUGAGGGAAUUUUGGCAGGUAGGUCAGCAUCCAGCCUACAUAACGAAGGUCAGAUCGGGUUAAGUUAUAAUUGAGAUCUGUUGACGUUUGUGGAAUUGUAGUUGGCGCCGACGAUCCAACAAAUUGAUGCACUAGGUCUACACAAUUUUCUUCGCGUUCUCUCCACCUUUUCUUCAGAGUGGAGAGAGAGUGUGUAUAAUAUAUCCAUGACAUCAAGGCUCAUACAUUUCAAAAGAGGAAAGAUGCAUUUGCACAUAAGCCCCUCUCUUUCUAAAAAAUUAAGUAGUAGCUCAGCUCGAUCGGUUUAUUUGAUAUCAAUUUAAUUUUAAAAUUUAAACAUAUAUAAGACCAUGUAGAACUCGUGAUUUAUAUCAAAAUCUUUAGUUUAUUUGCUAAUUAAAUUAAAGGACAUUUUUGCAUGAAUAUUUCGCCAGGAUUAACAUAACAUCAAAUUUGUUACGACUUUAACCCUUUUUUUUGUGGAAACUCUUCUAAUCAUAUAUAUAUUUUUUUAUAAUUUAGUCACUAUAAUCAUUUUUAUUAAAAAUUUUGUUGGAUUUAAAUGUUAUACUAAUAGCCUUUAGUCUUUAACUAUUCCGGCUUCAUUCACUAAGGUAUGAUUAAAACUAUUAAAUUUGAUUAAAUUAUCAUUAAAUUUUGAUAAAAUUUUUAAUUUAUUCGGCUAAAACUCUACUAGUUUUUAAAAAUAAAGAUUUAAAGAGAUUUUAAUUAAAAAAGUUAAAGUUGAAUUUGCUAAAGUCGCUUGGUUCCACAUGCAUAGGAGGACAAUGUUGUCUCUUAAUUAAGAGAUUCAUUACAAUGAAAAGAUAUUCAUUACAAUCAAAAUAAACUAAGGAGUCAAACAAGUUUAUAUCAUAUAUAUUAUUUCACGGCACCAACGCAGAUAAACGAAAAAAUCAAACAAGUUUACUUAGAAAACCAUGUAUAGAUAUAUAUUCAAUACAUCACAAUUCAUUGUAAUGAAAGUAAACUAAGGAGUCAAAAAAGUUUACAUAUAUAGAAUGUUGGGGAAUAUGAAUUAAUGGAGAUCAAGUAAAUUAUGAUCUUGAGGCGUGUAAGUUCACUUUCUUUAAGGUGAUAUUUACUCCCACUCGAAUGUAUGCUGUCUGGUUACCAGCAGAUCACCUUCAAGAUACAACAAAAUCGGCGAAAAACUACAAACAACACUUUUAAAGACUUUCACUUAAGAACUUCCUUUUUAAGAAUCAAUAUGAAAAAUUAGGAAGGAGAAAAAAUUGAUUAUAUUACUCUUGAAACCUUUAAACAUCUCCUAUUUAUAGGAGAUGAAUGAUUAUGAUGAAAGGACACAACUUUUAAAGUUAUAUUAUUUCACAAAAGGACAUAUCCUUUCACAAAAAAUUUAUUUCUUCGUAAAAAUAACAUAUCUUUUCGUGACGAGACAUAUCUUUACAUCUAAUGAAAAAACAAAUUUUUUCAUAAGAAUAACUACUUUAUAAAGUUUAUGAAGAGACAUAACUAUUCACUAAUCUCACUUCCGUUAUUAUAAUCUACACUAAUCUCACUUCCGCUAUUAUAAUCUACACUAACGUAGAAAACCAUAUGUAGAUUCCAUGAGACAACAAUUCGUUAUGAUGAAAAAAAAAAAAAGAGUUAAACAAGUUUACAUAGAAAACCAUAUAUAUGUAUAUAUAGAUUUCAUGACAUCACAAUCCACUGCAAUGAAAAUAAACCAAGGAGUCAAACAAGUUUACAUUAAAAAAACCAUAUAAAUUAAGAUUUAAUGACUCCACACGCUUCAUUACAAUAAAAAUAAAACGAGGAGUAAACAACUUUACAUAGAAAACCAUAUAAAGAUUCCAUCACUCCAAAAUAAACUAAGAAGUCAAAGAAUAAAAGUAAAUGAAUCUACCUAAACUGUACUUUGAGCUUAUUUUUCAUCACUUUUUACUUAAUCAAUUUGAUGCGUAACGCAAUAUCAUAUCAACCGUACAUAUAUUGAUCCCCUCCUCUCUUUCAAAUGAUCGUGAACUAACCAUUUCUUUGUUUUUUUUACACUGCUUAGAUAUUCUAAAUAAAUUCUCUACAUUUUUUUUUUCACCAAAAUAGAAAUAUAUUUCACCUCUCCAAAGCAAGAAUGUUUUAUAGAUGUGAACUUAAUACAUGUGACCAGUGAAGGACAAGUCAAAACAGUGAUUAUUCUUAUAUCAUUAUUUGCAACAGUACAUAAAAUGCCAAAGAAAGAAACAAAAUUGUGGUCAAAUGUGCUAUCACCACGCAAUCACCAGACAUUCCUGUUUCUUUUUAUUACUUUAUCUACAGCAUGGCACCAGCACCUAAUUUAUUAUAGGAAAAACUUCAAAUACCCUCUUAUGAUUUCACUUUUUCUCGUUUAAGUAUCAUGUGGUUUAAAGUAUAUCAAGUUAGUACUUUAUGGUUUUGCACUUUUUCACUUUAGUACCUUAUAGUUUAAAGUGUAUCAAGUUAGUACCUUGUGGUUUCGUACUUUUUUAUUUUAGCACCCUAUAGUUUUAUUAAACCAUAAGAUACUAACAUGAUACAAAAAUAAAACCACAAAGUACUAACUUUUAACAAAAAUAAAAUCACAGAAUAUUAACUUGAUAUAUUUUAAACUACAGAAUACUAAAGUGAGAAAAUAUAAAACUAUAUGGUACUAAUUUAAUACAUUUUAAAUUAUAAAUUACUAAAAUAAAAAAGUACAAAACUAUAGCGGGGUUCUUGAAGCUCUUCCUUUAUUGUACAUCAUUUGCUGGAUAAAUUAUUAAUACAUAAACUCCCACAAAAGAAACUGGUACAGUGUGAAAUCACGUGAUAAAACUACCAAACGGUUCGUACUUCUUUUUAUUAUUAUAUUAUAUUAUUAUAUCAGCAGCAGCAUCUUCAUCUAAUUUAUACAAAAUUAAUUAUAUAUAUAUAUAUAUAUAUAUAUGCAAGGAUACAUGGUACGUACGUAUUUAUUUAUAAACUUAUGAAUUGGGAUCCUGAAGUUUCCUGGCUCGACACGUGGCGGUGGGAGCGAGUGGCGCGAGCACGGGUGCGAGCAGAGCGGGCGGGGCGCGAAAAUAGAGUCGGCUGGCGAGUGGGGGCGGCGGCGAGCGCCGCAGGGGGCGCAGGCAUGCGCGAAGACUCGUGGGCGCAAGCGUGGGGUGGGUGCGGGCGGCGCGCGUGGCGUGCGGGUGGCGCGAGCAGGCGCGGCGGGCGAGCCGGCGGUGCAGGCGCGAGCUCGGCGCGGGCGGAGCCGAAAAAAAAAAAAAACUACAGUAAACAAAAAGACGGGCUCACUUCCCUUUUUGCGCGCGUCCACGAGGUGAGACUCACUGGUGACCACCCGAGGAGAGAGACAGAGCAGUGGACCUCUCUCUCCCUCUUUGAGAUUUAUAUAUAUAUAUAUAUAAUAUAUAUAAAUUUUAAUAUUUUAUUUAUAAAUAUAUAAUAAUUUAUUUUGAGAAUCAAGAGAGAUAAUAUUUUACUUUAGUCAAUUUUUUAUUUAUAAUACACAGAUAAUAAUAAAAAAUAAUUACGUAUUUUUUUAAUAUUACAAUAGCUUUUUUAUUUAUUUUAAACUGGUUUAUUUAUUUUAGACCACUCCUAUCUCUCCUCUUUUUUGAUUUUUGUUUUUAUUUUUUACACCUUCUUAUUUUAAGUGUUAUUGCCCACAUACAAAAAAAAUGAAAUUUAAAUUUAAAUAAUUUAAUUAAUUUAUUAUUAAUAAUUUUUGAAUGUGUUGCUUAGCUUAUAAUAUUUAGUUAGUAUAUUUUAUUAAUGUUAUAAUUAAAUAUAUUUUAAAAAACUUAAUUAUGAUGUGUUUUUUUAUAAAAUAAUUAUUUUAUAUCUAAAUAAUUAUAAAAUUAAAAUUAAUAUUUAAUACAUACAAUCUAAAAUAUUUAAAAAUUAGACAUAAAUAAUUAUAUAUUUUAAAGUUUUAUUAUAAUUAAAACACAAACUUAUGAAUCCACAAUCUGACCCGAACGGAUGUUAAGAUCAACAUGAUUGUUUGUAAUCAAAACUUGUAUAUCUGAUACAAUUGAUCGCAUGUGAAAAUGUCUCUAAAACUUUCUUAUUUAAUUAACUAAAACAUAUUGUUAUUUACUUUAUAAAAAAUAUAUUUAAUUAUUUAUUAAUUAUUUAUAAAGAAGAUAAAUAAAUUCGUUGCGUAGCACGGGUUACUUAACUAGUACAAGUAAAGAGAGACACACACAAAUAAAGAAAAAAGAAAACAAUAUUCAAAAAAAAAAUGUGGGGCUCUGGUAGCUCGUACGUGCGAACGCGCCGACCUAAUUUUAUCUCCUAACAAUCAAAUAAUUAGAAAAAAAUGUACAGAGGCCGCUUGAUCUUUAACUCUUUUAUUAAAAAAAAUAAAUUUUUUAAAUUUCAACAACUAAAUUUUUAUAUUUUAUUUGAUAGUUUAAUAGAUCUUUUUUAAAUUUAAAUUACUGUGUGUGUGUUGUCUUUUAAAUAAGUAAAUAUUCUUUUUAGUCAAAAUUUGAUGAUAUAAUUUAAAUUACUGUGUGUGUGUUGUCUUUUAAAUAAGUAAAUAUUCUUUUUUGCCUAAUAUUCUUUUCCUAACUUAUAUCAAAUACUUCAAUAUAGGCUUCUUUGCUUAAUUAGGAUUACUAAUUAUGAAGUCAUUUUGGUUUCAUGUUUUGCAUAAAAUAUACCAAGUAAAGUUUUAAAAUAAAAGAAAAUUUAUUUUUUUAUUCUAAUAUAUAGAGGUUAAGGAGCAAGUGCACGCAUGCCACGCAUUUUGUCCCAAAAGGGCCCAAUUGAAAAGCAACGCGUGUCACCAACAGCUCCCACGUGCGGUGGCUGUGGUUAAAAAAGUCAAAAAAGAAAGGCCGAGAACCUUUCCUCCGUACGUGUAUAUAUAUACCUGUGCUUAUCAUCGUGCAUGUGUUAUAUACUGUAUGUUUUUAUUGCAACUCACAUUUUAAAUCUAACUAUACAAAUUUUAGUAAUAUAGAAAAACUUGUGAGGUAAAUUAUUAGGCAAGCCGUCGAGAUUAGACUAUCAGGAAUGCAUGGUGCAUGGAAGCAAUAAUUAAUCAAAAUUACUGAAUGACAUGUACUCAAAUUAAAUGCAUCGAGAGCUUAGAUAUAUAGAUUUUUAAAAAUCGAUUGGAAAAUCAUUUUCAAAUGAUCUAAAGUUCAGAUCAGUUCUGUACAUUUUCACCUUUCUUUUCUCUUUGCUCUCUCUCUAGAUCUCUCUCCCUCUCUUUGUAUUUUCUUGCAUAUAUUCUCCUAACACCAAAUCCGAAAAAGGUCCAAAGCCUCGCAUAUCAUAUCGAGUAAAAGAACAAAUGCAUUCAGUGUAAAACAAAAUACUUCUUUUGCUCUAAAUUAAGGACAAAUAAAAAAAAUUGGUGAUAGUAGAAAGAUAUAUUUGAAAGGAUAAAAUAAUAAUUUCACAGAGAUAACGGUUGCUCCUAUCAAAAUUUAUUUUUGGGGGUAUAUUUUAAAGAAUUUGGAAUCUUAAAAAAAUAUUUUUAAUAUUAGCUUUUUAAGAAGAAUCAAUAAGAAAGUCGAAAAUUUUUCAGGAGUAUAUAAGCAAUUACCCGGAAAGGGUUCAUAGUAUAGUGCGAAGAAACUAAACUUAAUUUUAAAGCAUCAUCCUACUGAAUACGAAUUAGAUCCUACAAAGAUGAGCUCUCUCUUGAUUAUAAAACAGUACAAAAAUAGUGCUUACACUUUAACAAAACAAACAAACAAACAAUUAUUUCACCUAAAUUAAUAGAACUGUAUGUAUUUCAACAGGUAAUUAAUUUAUAUUGAGCAGAACCCUAGCUACUUAAUUACUUUCUUAGCCUACAAACCAACUUGGUAAAAAAAAAUUCCUACUUAUGAUGAGGAGGUAUCGGGGGGCAGAUUCCGGGAGGACUUGGGCCGGAAUGGUUGCUGCAGUCAGAAGCUUUCGCCGGCGGAACGGGCCCUCUAAUACUUAUAACCUGCAGCAAGAACCUGCUGCGAAAUCCCGCUGCGGCCGUCAAAGGCAGCAGAUUUGCUUCUGCUGUGGCAAACCUCCUCGCCGCAUCGACUGUCGAAGCCGGUUUCGCUUCUGCGACGGCAAAACGCUUCUCUCCGUCGACCGCUAAAGGCGUCUUGUUUAUAUUGGCGGUCGGAAAAGAGUGCUGGACUAAUAUUAUGAUAGAGGAGAGAAAGGCCAUUAUAGUUAGGGUGAGGAGGCAUGAGGAAUAUAGGUUUGAGAAACGACGACCCAUGGGGUGCAAGUUGGAGGAGAACACAAGAAGUGGAAGGUGGAGUAGUACUAGCUCGUAAGUUCCAGGGACUUCAAUUGUGAAGGAUUUAUAUAUAUAUAGAAGAAGGUCUCCAUGACUCAGUCAUCAUGCAUGCACCUUAUUGCGUCAGCGAUGAUUCAUACUUUAAUGAAUUAUUCUAAAGGGAAAAAUAACCAUUUAAGAGAAAUAAAUUAUUAUUCUUAAUUACCUCCCUACAUAUUGAGUUGCUGCUCUUGCUUUUUAUCCCUCCUUUUCUCCGUCCCUUGAAACGACAAUUGGCUUAUUAUAUUAUUAUUUUUAUACACUAUCUAUUUAACUAAUUAACUUUGUAAAUAAUUUUCUAAAUAAUUAACUAUCUAAAUUUAUAUAUCAUUCACAAUUAACCUGCAGCUAAUCAACUAACUAAUAUUUAUUUUUAUAUAUUAUUCAUAGUUAAUUAACUGUGAAUUAAUUAUUUUUAAGAAUAGAACUAAUAAUUGAUUAAUUAGUAAGAUAAUAACAUACCGACUAAUUAACAUUCCUCUCCGUUAAUUUAUAUUCGUUAAUUGUUAAUUGUCUAACUGAUUAAUUUAAUAGUUUGCUGGUAAACUAAAUUGGUAAUUAAUUGACGACUUGGAUUUAUUCUAACUAAUUCACUGAUUAAUUUCUUAAAUACUGUUUACUAAUAAUUUUUUUGUAGGCAAUCUAUAUUUUAUAUUAUAAUUCCUCUUUAUUCCCACAAUUAAUUCUAAUUUAAUUAUCCAAAAGUUAGUUCUUUUAUUCUAAAAAAUAAUUGGGUUUACACCCAAACAUAAAAUUAAUUAUAUCCUCUAUUUAUUUCUAUAGUUAUGCCUAUCUAAGGGUGGCAAUCCAGCUUGCUGUUCGCGCUCGUAUUCGAUCGAUCAGCUCGAAAUGAGCUCUAAAUCGAAUCACUCGUUUAGUGAACAAGUCGAACACGGGCUGAAUUUUUCAGCUCGUUAAUAAAUGAGCCGAACACGAGAGCCGGCAUCAACUUGCUUGUGUUCGGCUCGAUAACAGCUCGAAAUACAUAUAUUUUAUAUUUAUAUAAUUUAUAUAAUUUAUAUUUAUAUAUAUCAAUAAAUAAUUAUAUAUAUAAUAUAUAUUUUUAUUAUUUGAUUUUUAGUAAAAGAAAUAUAAAGCCGAGCUCAAUUAUAAAAAAAUUUAUUUAUAUGAAAAGUUUCAAUUAUUAGAUCAAAAUUUAAUGGAUAAGAUUUUAUAAAUUUAUUUUUUAUAUAUAUUCAAUCUAACCCAUUUAACUUAUUAUUUGUUGGCUAGCUUGUGUUCAGCUCAUUUAUUAGCGAGCCGAACACGAGCAAUUAAUAAACGAGCCAAACAUGAGCUGAAUUUUUCGACUCCAUACUUUAAUAAGUUAGCUUGUGUUCGGCUCGUGUUCGGCUCGUUCAUGUUCGGCUCGUUGACAUUCCUAUGCAUAUCUCAGAUGUAAGAAGAUAUGCCAAAUUAAGGGUAUUGCGAUGGCCUAUAAGUAGUAAUUACAUAUAUACAAGGGUCAAAAUCACCUUAACUUUUUCAGUAGUCGACGCCCACAGAGCUCUAAUCCUCUCCACAAUUUGUCCCCCUCUUUGACUGUUUGAAUCCUGCACGACUGAUAAAAGAGUAGUAGUGUGUUUUUUUUUUUUUGAGAGGGAUAGAUAGUACGCUAUCCGUUUCAUUUAUUUUAUUUAGAAAUAAAUUUAGCUGGAAAUAUGAAUCAACUAGAAUUCGAACUUGGGUCUCGGGUACCAACUACCAAGCCCUUUGCCACUUGCUCUAGGGACGGUCGGUAGUAGUAGUGUGUUGUGUGUAUCUCGGAGUGUACUUUUGUUCUCAUUUGCCGUUUGAUAUGUGGAUGCUUAUUAUACUAAAGAUAUUGUUGAUUAUUAAUUAUUUACUAACAUUAAAUGGAUGAAAACUAGAUAAUUUUUAAAAGUAAACAGGUUGCAUCAAUUUCUAUAUUAUUUUUUAUGAUAAAAUAUUCAAAUCGGUGAUUGACGCCAUUAAAUAUAAUAUUAGACUAUUCGAACUUCCUAUGUUUCAAAUUUUAUAAAUUUUUGACAUCAUUUGCUAAGAAUAACCUAAUUUUUAUUCCCAAUAAUAACCUAAUUUUUAUUAAAAUACAAAAUUUAUUUAGGUCCUAUUUAUACCUCAACUUAUACCUAUUUCCGAAAUAAGCAGUUCUUUUACUUAUACUCGAGCCAAACGCAACCCUAUAAUUUUGAAUUUUAAAUAUAAAUCUAAAUUUAAAAUUUUAACUUACGUUGCGAAUAUAAGUCGGUUGUUUAUAAUUUUCACCUCUUUAUAUAUAAUUUAAUAAUUAAAAUUAUAAUAUUACAGUUUUAAUCUUUUAACUUUAUAGUCAAAGCUAAACAGGCGAACUGAAAAAUAACUUUUAUAAAAAUAAUAUUUUUUCUUUUUUAAAUUUCAUUGAUUUUCGAGCAAACAAACGUGCCUGAACUGCAUGCCGAAUGAAACAAGUAAGCACCGCCGACGUCUGACUCAGAUGACAGAUCCGUCUGGAAACUUUAUAUCCAUUUUAAGCAGCAGAAUUGGCUGAUUCGUUCCGAGUCCAGCUAACGAACCAAUCAGCCAUUCACACUUUAACAUGACAGCUGGUUCCAGGGAGAUCGUACUUAAUUACAUACUAAGUAAAAAAAAAAAAAAAUUCAAGUAUAUAUACAUGUAAAAAUAGGUAUUUCAUUUAUAUUUUACUCAUCCAAUAUACAAAAUUUAGGAAAAAUUUCAAAUACCUCUUUUGUGAUUUCGCACUUUCUCACUUUAGUAUCUUGUGAUUUAAAGUGUAUCAAGUUAGUACCCUGUGGUUUCGCACUCUCUUGCGUUAGUACCCUGUGGUUUAAAGUGUAUCAAGUUAGUACUCUGUGGUUUUAUUUUUGUAUCAAGUUAGUACCCUUUAGUUUUAUUUUUUUUCUUUUUAUUAUCCAUUUCGGAAUAUUUUUUUCGUUAAAUCAGUGAUAAAGUUAAAACUAAUUAAAUGGUACUAAAAUUAAUAUUCGAUAAACCUAGAUAGGAUAUCUAAAGUUUUUUUUGUAUAUAAUUUAACGAAAUAUUAAACCACAGGAUACUAAAGUGAAAAAGUGCGAAACCAUAGGAUACUAACUUGAUACACUUUAAACUACAUUGUACUAAAGUGAGAACGUGCAAAAUCACAUUGUACUAACUUGAUACAUUUUAAACCACAGAGUACUAAAAUAAGAAAAGGCAAAACCACAAGAAAAGAUUUUUGAAGUUUUUCCUAAAAUUUACUUACUAGUUACUCAACAUGCAUGGCUAGCAGAAACGUCUCACUUCAUAAAAAUAUACGAUAUCCAUUCUGAUUGAGAUGUACACUAAUUCAUAAGAUAAAUUAUACUUUUGAUCUUCAAACUAUAUAUGAGGUGGAAAGCACUUCACUUUAUUUUAUUAUAAUUUUUUACUUAAAUUACGAGGUGCAUGAUGUUUUAGUCUUCGAAUUUUAAUUAAUUAUAAUAAUUUCUGUUUCAAAUUUUAAGAUAUGUGACAUCUUAAUUUUCAAAGUUUCUAAAUUAUAAUAAUAUUCUACUUAAUAAUACAAUAAUAAUUAUUGUAUUACUUCAAUGCUAGUUGUUUUUUAAUCUUUAUUCAAAAAAUUAUAUUAUUCAACUUAAUUGUAAUAAUUUUAAAAAAUUAACCUAAGGGGCUAAGCCCUAAACCCCGCGUUCCUUAAUUCCACGGUGGGUUCUCAUGCACAUGGGAUGAACCCUCAAAUUACAGCCUAAUUUUAAGGCAUGCGUGUAAGGGAAUGCACAUUUGGCUGUACAUUGUUGUACUCUUCUCAGUACUAUUAUCCUGUGGAAACUUUAUAUAUAUAUAUAUAUAUAGAGAGAGAGAGAGAGAGAGAGAGAGAGAGAGAGAGAGAGAGAGAGCUAGUCUCCUAUACUAUUUAUAAUAACGGGCCUCUGGUAUUAUAGUCCCAUUUUCGAUUUUAGGGUGUUCAAAUCAACGAUACAUAUCGUUAAAACUGAUUUAGGGUAUUUAAAGUUUUUAGAAAUAAAAUUUUAUAUUUUUUCGACAUAGUUUACUUUAUGAUCAAAUCAUUUCAAAAUUGUCAAUUUUCAAUGGCUACUAUAGCGAGUUUAGAGUUUAACGGUGUAGAAGAAUCUAAAUUUCUUUAAAUUUUGAUAGAAAACACUUUAAACUAUCUAGAUUAAGGUUAACAUUCUUAAUCUUGAAUUUAAAAGUCCUAUACUCAAAUUUUAAAGAUUAUUCGAUUUCCACCGUCCAUUUUGACAUAAUUUAUUUACUAAGUAAACGAUGUCGAAAAAAACUAAAAUUUUUUUCUAAGAACUUCAUAUACCAUAGAUCAUAUUUAAUGAUGUGGAUCGUUAAUUUGAACAUCACAAGAUCGAAAAUAAGACUAUAGUACCGAAGCUCCAGUACUAUAGAUAGUAUAGUAGCAUAAUUCUAUAUAUAUAUAUAUAGGCUAGGGCUACUAUCCUAUUAAUAGGAUAGUAGCACUUGUCCUAUCAAAUUGUUCUUGAUGAUAGAGAUUCCGAAUCAAUGAUCGGAGCCGUUAAAGUUGAUCUAGAGUAUUUGAAAUAUCUAAAAACUAAAUUUUAUAAAUUUUAAAAAUUAUUUACGUGAUGAUCAAAGUAUCGUAAAAUUGACAAUUUUUGAUUGUCUAUAUGAGCCGCUUGCUUGUUUAACGGUGUAGAAUAAUCCAAAUUGGUUGAAUUUUUGAUAGAAAAUUCUUUAUACUAUUUAGAUAAUAUUUGAUAAUUCUGAUCAUGAUUUAAGAAAGUCUAACCUCUAUUUUAAGAAGGUUAUUCAUUUAUGACCGUUCAUUUUUUCGACUCUUCGAUAGACUUGAUAAUGAUUUUCAAAAAUUACAAAAUUCGGUUUUUAAAUAUUUCUUAUAGUGUAGAUCAAUUUCAACGGUGCCGAUUAUCAAUUUGGAGUGUCGAUCAUUCAAAACCAUUUGAUAGGACAAUGGUCCCAAUCCUAUUAAUAGCAUAGUAGCCGGACUCUAUAUAUAUAUAUAUAGUAUGAGGCUACUAUGCUUCUGGAAGCACGGAGCCUUUCGUGCUUUCAGAUCGUUUUCGAUGUUGCGACUUUCAAAUCAUCGAUCGGCUCCGUUAAAUUUGAUCUAGAGUAUUUGAAGUACCUAGAAAUUAAAUUUUAUGAUUUUUCGAUAUCAUUUGCCUAGUGAUCGAAUGGGCUCAAAAUCAAUAAUUUUAAUGGCCGUAGUGAACCGUUUGCAAGUUUAACGGUGUAGAAAUAUCCAAAUCACGUGAAAUUUUGAUAGAAAAUUUUUUAUACUAUAUAAAACAAGAUCAAUAUCUUUAGUCUAAAAUUUUAAUGUCAUAUUAUCACGUUUUGUAAGAUUUUUAUUUUUAACUGUUGAUUUUGAGUUCCUUCGUUCACUAGGCAAAUAAUAUCGAAAAAUCGCAUAAUUUAUUUUCUGGGUACUUCAAAUACUCUAAAUCAAGUCUAACGGAGCCAAUCGACGAUUCGAAAGUCGCAACAUGAAAAAUGACCUGGAAGCACGGAAGGCUCCGUGCUUCCAGAAGCAUAGUACCCUCACUCUAUAUAUCUAUAUAGAGUGCGUUUGGUAUGCUUCUGGAAGCACGGAGCGUUCCGUGCUUCCAAUUUGUUUUUGAUGUUCGGACUUUCGAAUUGACGAUCGGCUCCGUUAGACUUGAUCUAGAGUAUUUAAAGUAUCUAGAAAAUAAAUUUUGUGAUUUUUCGAUAUCAUUUGCCCAGUUAUCGAAGUCGCUCAAAAUCAACGGCUGAAAAUAAAAAUCUUACAAAAUAUGAUGAUAUGGCAUUAAAAUUUUAGAUCAAAGUUAUUGAUCUUGUUUUAUAUGGUAUAAAGAAUUUUCUAUCAAAAUUUCAUGUGAUUUGGAUAUUUCUACACAAUUAAACUUGCAAACGACUCACCACGUUGAUUUUGAGCCCCUUUGAUCACUAUGCAAAUGAUAUCGAAAAAUCGCAAAAUUUAUUUUCUAGAUACUUCAAAUACUCUAGAUCAACUCUAACGGAGCCGAUCGUCGAUUCGAAAGUCCGAACAUAGAAAACAACUUGGAAGUACAGAGGGCUCCAUGCUUCAAGAAGCAUACCAGCCCAUUAUGUAUAUAUAUAUAUAUUUAUAUAUAUAUAUAGAGAUCGGCUGGGAUACUAUCGAUAGCACUAAGGAUUUGGUGCUAUCGAGUUUUUCACCGUUAGAUUUAACCCUUUAAUUAUUUUUACAUGUUGGAUUAUACUAUUCAACCAACCACUCACUCAACCCUACAUCAUCGUAACCACGCAUUUCUCAAUCCAAUGGUUAAAAAAUGAAUAGCACCAAUAGCUUGUUGCUAUUGAUAGUAUUCCAGCCUAGUUAUAUAUAUAUAUAUAGAGAGAGAGAGAGAAAGAGAGAGAGAGAGAGAGAGAGUCCGGCUACUAUGCUAUUAAUAGCACGAAGCACUUGGUGCUACCAAGUUUUCCGCCGUUAGAUCUAUCAUUUUGAUCAUUUUCACCCGUUAGAUCAUACUAUUCAACCAACCACCCACUCAACCCUAGAGAGCCCACAUCAUCCUAACCGCACAUCUCUUAAUCCAAUGGCCAAAGACUUGGUAGCACCAAUGACUUGGUGCUAUUAAUAGCGUAGUAGCCUAGUUCUCUCUCUCUCUCUCUCUCUGUAUAUAUAUAUAUAUAUAUAUAUAUAUANGAAUGUAAAAUUUAUAGCUACUUUUGAAUAUACAGAUAGCAGCGCGCUUCUUAUAAAUAAUAUCCUUUUCUUCGAAAAAUUUUCAAUGACUAAUUAUUGGCUAGUUAAUAUAUUUUCAUAACUUUAUGUUUUUAAGUAAACAUUUUAAAUAUUAGACAUCAAAUCUUGAAAUGAAAUCUAUAUCUAUAUCUAUAUUUAAAUUUCGAUCUUCUAUCUAUUUAUAUAUAUAUAUAUAUAUAGAAAGAGAGAGAGUUGAGCUAGAUUACUCUCAAAAGCACCAUAAAGGUCGGAAAGAGUUUCACAAAUUCGAACACAUUUUAACUUAUUUAGGGACUAUACAGCGAUCAUCACUUGUACAGGCUUUAGCAUUCCAAAUACGACCACACGCAUUAAUUACUACUAACUAACUACCAAAAGUAGAAAGCUAAUGAGGAUCUCCUGAUUAACUAGCCCAGGCAUUUAAUAAUUAAACUGAUACCACUGCAAAUAUUACAUCAUAGUUUUAUAAAAAAUUUGAAAACGUGAUUCUUUAUAUAUUCGCAGGUGUUAAAAUCAACGAUCCGAAAUUUCUAAAAUAGGGUGUUAUUGAAACAAUUCAAGAUUUAUAUUUUUAAAACUCAUAACUUUUUAUACAUAUAUAUAUAUAUAUAUAUAUAUAUAUAUAUAUAUAUAUAUAUAUAUAUAUAUAUAUAUAUUAUUUGUUGGAACUGUACGUUCAAACUUUUAUUUCU